rnacentral:lncRNA from 1 species
GUUUUUUUCAAAAAUCAUUUUAUUUCCAAUUAAGGAUGGGCAGAAUCUGUGUUCAGCCCAGAGUAGGAACCAUUAAAUACCACAUCGAUAGCAAUAUCUGAAACAGGCAAAAUUGCACAUGCCGUGCAAAAUAACCCCUCUAGUCUGCUUGCUGAUUCAGUUCAUUGUACAGUGAGCCAUUGCAUGGGGUCGCCCAGAAACAUAAUUUAGCCCUCCUUCAUCUUUGCUGUUUCUGCUAAAAUGCUCUUCCUCCACGUAAUUGUUACUCUGGGCACCAGAAUGGCAGGAUUUCUUACAAAUUCUAGCUUGCUGCCUUAUCAUUCGAAUAACCCUCAAAUUAUAUUCCGUUUUCUCUCUUUAUGCCAAGCAAGAACAACCAAGUUACCUCUGAGGAAUACAUAACAACAUGGCCAGAUUCUGUCAGAUUAAAAUAUGAGACAAAUUAACCCUCAUUAAGAGAAUGCACCUGCAACACUGCCUACCAACUGUGAAAAAGCAACUGGCCGCAUCCCUGAGUCCAUAUUGUCUUCACCCCUCAUUAAGCAACCCCCCCGGAUUUUGCUGUGCAGCCACAGCCGUGAGAGGCUGUGCAGAAGGCAGCUCGGGCUGGACCACAUGGAGGAGGUUUCGCAGGCUGCAUUUUGGCCCCUGACAUGGAAGAAGGCUCCUGCUUAUUGGAAUCAAGAAGGUACAUGGAGACCAAAGAGGGAUGCAGAGAGCCAACGCAUGACUUUCCGAGCCAACAAGAGCCAGGUGGCAAAGCAGCAGAGAGACGGCUUUCCCGCGGCUUCUAUAUCACUCCAGAAAUAGGUCGAAAAUUAGGAGAGCCGGCAACCUUGGACAGCAGAGAAAAGAAAACAGCCAACUAUUGUGUGCACAGCUUAAAUCUCCUCUAAUAGAACGAGGGUCCUCGGCUCUCUGGGCUGGGUGCCUUCUGGGAACACUGCUGAGUGCCACAGAAGAAAAGGGAGGAUUGUUUCCCAAAAUCAUCACUUGCAGUUCCUCCCGCCCCCAGCGUGGACCAGAAGAGAGCACUAGAUGAGCGCCAGGUGACAGUGCACUGGGCCUUUCUGCGUGCUCAUGGUAAAAUGAGGGCAAAGCUGCACUGUCCAAUACUGUAGCCGCCAGCCGCAUGUGGCUAUUUAAAUUCAAAUUAAUUUAAAUUAAAAAUUCAUUUCCCACAGCAAAGGAAACCAUUAGCAAAACGAAGAGACAACCAAACAGUUGAGAGAAGAUAUUUGCAAACCGUAUAUCAGAUAAGGGGUUAAUAUCUAAAAUAUACAAAGGACUCAUUCUUCUCAACAACGAAAAAACCAACAACCCAAUUAAAAAAUGGGCAAAAGAUCUGAACAGAGAUUCUCCAAAGAAGAUAUACGGAUGGCUAACAGGUACAUGAAAACAUGUUCAACAUCAUUAACUAUCAGGGAAAUCAAAACUACAAUGAGAUAUCACCUCACUCCAGUCAGAAUGGCUAUAAUUAACUAGACAGGAAACAACAGGUGUUGAAGAGGAUGUGGAGAGAGGGGAACCCUCAUACACUGCUGGUGGGAGUGCAAACUGGUGCAGCCACUAUGGAAAGCAGUAUGGAGUUUCCUCAGAAAAUUAAGGAUAGAUCUACUAUAUGAUCCAGCUAACCCACUGCUGGAUAUUUAUCCAAAGAACUUGAGAACACGAAUGCAUAAAGAUACAUACACCCCUAUGUUCAUUGCAGCAUUAAUCACAAUAGCCAACACUUGAAAGCAAGCUAGGUGCCCAUCAAGGGACGAAUGGAUAAAGAAGAUGUGGUGUAUAUAUAACAUGGAAUACUACUCAGCCAUAAGAAACGAUGAAACACUGCCAUUUGUGACAACAUGGAUGGACUUUGAGGGUAUUAUGCUGAGUGAAAUAAGUCAGAGGGAGAAAGUCAAAUACCAUAUGAUCUCACUCAUAAGUAUAAGAUAAAAACAACGACAAACAAACACAUAGCAACAGAGAUUGGAUUGGUGGUUACCAGAGGGGAAGGGGGAGGGAGGAGGGUAAAACGGGUGAUUAGGCUCACAUGUGGCGAUGGAUUGUAAUUAGUCUUUGGGUGGUGAACAUGAUGUAAUGUACACAGAAUUCAAAAUAUAUUAUGAUGUACAUCUGAAAGUUAGAUAAUGUUAUAACCCAAUGUUACUGCUAUAAAAACAAAAAUAAAAAUUUUUUUAGAAUUCC